rnacentral:tRNA from 1 species
UGGGGUUUUGGCUCAGUGCUAGAGUGUUCGCCUCGCACGUGCAAGGCGCUGGGUUCAAGCCUCAGCACCACAA